rnacentral:rRNA from 1 species
CUUGACAUCCAGAGAAUUUAGCAGAGAUGCUUUAGUGGCCUUCGGGAACUCUGAGACAGGUGCUGCAUGGCUGUCGUCAGCUCGUGUUGUGAAAUGUUGGGUUAACGUCCGCAACGAGCGCAACCCUUAUCCUUUGUUGCCAGCACGUAAUGGUGGGAACUCAAAGGAGACUGCCGGUGAUAAACCGGAGGAAGGUGGGGAUGACGUCAAGUCAUCAUGGCCCUUACGAGUAGGGCUACACACGUGCUACAAUGGCGUAUACAAAGAGAAGCGACCUCGCGAGAGCAAGCGGACCUCAUAAAGUGCGUCGUAGUCCGGAUUGGAGUCUGCAACUCGACUCCAUGAAGUCGGAAUCGCUAGUAAUCGUAAAUCAGAAUGUUACGGUGAAUACGUUCCCGGGCCUUGUACACACCGCCCGUCACACCAUGGGAGUGGGUUGCAAAAGAAGUAGAUAGCUUAACCUUCGGGAGGGCGUUUACCACUUUGUGAUUCAUGACUGGGGUGAAGUCGUAACAAGGUAAGCGUAGUGCU